ACGCUCGACACCUCGGGAGCAGCAGUGGGGAAUAUUGCACAAUGGGGGAAACCCUGAUGCAGCGACGCCGCGUGAGCGAAGAAGUAUUUCGGUAUGUAAAGCUCUAUCAGCAGGGAAGAAGAAAGACGGUACCUGACUAAGAAGCCCCGGCUAACUACGUGCCAGCAGCCGCGGUAAUCUGAGCGGGCUGGCAAGGC
rnacentral:rRNA from 1 species